CAACUUAUGGGGUGCGUACUGGCAUUAUAUAUAUAAGGAAGAAGGUAGGAAAGGAGGAGCAAAACUUAGACCUGACUACCAUAAAAAUGGUUUCCAAGGCCAACGGUGUUUGCAUGAUGAGUCUCUUCAUCCUAUUGCUGCUGUUCUCAUCCAAAGUAGCGUUUGCCAGAGUUUCCCAAUUUUCAGAAACUAAAGAGAAGAUGGGUACGGAGUUUCCAAAGAUGAAGAAUAUUAACCUGGCAAAGAAAAUAGGAGCACGUGAAAGGCCAGCACCUGCUAGCCCAAUACCUUAGUGAUGCCGGAGCACAGGGGUGGAUGAAGACAAAUAUUUACUAUUUGAGAUAAUGUUAUUUUCUUAUUUAUGUGGUUUUGGAGUAUAUUUUAUUAUUUAUGUGUGAUUUUAUAAUUACUUAGUUUAUUGUUUAUCCAAGUAGCUUUGGUGUCCAAGUCUUGUAAAGCCUAUAAAUAAGGCUAACGUAAUAGUUUUAGGGGGGUGGUUUUGUUGAUGAUUAAUUAUCACUUAUUUGUGGCAUGAAUUUGCUACGAUAUA